rnacentral:rRNA from 1 species
AGCGAACGCUGGCGGCAGGCUUAACACAUGCAAGUCGAGCGGGCGUAGCAAUACGUCAGCGGCAGACGGGUGAGUAACGCGUGGGAACAUACCUUUUGGUUCGGAACAACCCAGGGAAACUUGGGCUAAUACCGGAUAAGCCCUUACGGGGAAAGAUUUAUCGCCGAAAGAUUGGCCCGCGUCUGAUUAGCUAGUUGGUGAGGUAAUGGCUCACCAAGGCGACGAUCAGUAGCUGGUCUGAGAGGAUGAUCAACCACAUUGGGACUGAGACACGGCCCAAACUCCUACGGGAGGCAGCAGUGGGGAAUAUUGGACAAUGGGCGCAAGCCUGAUCCAGCCAUGCCGCGUGAGUGAUGAAGGCCCUAGGGUUGUAAAGCUCUUUUGUGCGGGAAGAUAAUGACGGUACCGCAAGAAUAAGCCCCGGCUAACUUCGUGCCAGCAGCCGCCGUAAAAC